UCUCAACCUAGCAGCAGCGGCAGCAGCCAGGCUAUGACCACCUCUGCAGUUACUAUGGAAGAGGAGACUGUGUGAAUCACACCUUCAUGGUCUGAAUUACUGUAGAAGACACCACGAGUGAGGGAGACAACAAGAAGAAGAAGAGAGCUGUUUGGACCAAGAAACACAGAGAAUGGACAUUAGAUCAGAGGAAUUUUGUCCUUCGGUCCAACCAUCAGGUCUUUGUGAGACACAGAGAAGGUAGAUAAAAGGUAUCUGCAUGCAUGGUUCCCACCAUGAAGCAUGGAGGAGGUGUGAUGGUGCGGGGGAGCUUUGCUGGUGAUACUGUUGGUGAUUUAUUCCAAAUCUUGCGUGUCAUAGCAAAAACAACAUCAGAAGGUGUCCAAACUUUUGACUGGCACUGUAGAAUAAUAACAAUAAUAACAUAUUCACAGAAAAUCAGAAGUGGUUCACAGCAGCUACAGAAGUGGAGACUCACCUGCUCAUAUUUCUCUAGCUCUGUGUGAUAUAUCUGUCUGAUCUGUGUUAGCUUGGCCCUGUAGUCAGAGUGCUCGAUGGAGUUAUCAGUCACACCACCUGCUGCUGCAGCUGCUGCAGCUGUAGCCACUGCCGCUCCACCCCCUUUCUCAGGUCCAGCAACACCCUCUGCCAGCAGCAUGUUGUCCAGUCUCAUCAGCUGGGUGUCUGGAGGCUCUUCUUCCUGUGCACCACGGAUACUCAGUCCUGAACAAAGACAAAAAUACUGCUUAUGAAUGAAGAAGUAAAAGGUAAGGUUUUAAUGCAGUGUGUGUGUGUGUGUGUGUGUGUGUGUGUGUGUGUGUGUGUGUGUGUGUGUGUGUGUGUGUCAGAGACAGAGUGUAUCCAUGGCACCAGUCUGUAGAGACAGUAACAGUUGAAAUCUACAGAGCAGCACUCCUCUGGCUGUAAUCCCAUCAAGAUGAAACAAAACAACAUCCACACCUGAUCCCACAUCCUGCUCACCACCUUCUCUGCUGUGUACAUUAACAGCCAACCGAUGGCCAUUUUCACAAAUGACUUCUCACUUCACAAGUUCCAGGCAUGAGAUGCAACACUGUAGUUUUUAUAGUCCAGUAACAAUUUUGCAUAAAUACAGAGAAUUAAGUAUUUAUGUUUUCAACACAAACUGAACCUGUCUUGAAACCAUCAUUUUCUAUCCAUUAUACCUCACAAUACAAAAGUGUCAGACAGAAUAUAAACUGUAAAGUCGUUCUGUGGGUGGCACUACAGAGGGAAGGUCACAAAGUCUAAAUCUAUAAUAUAAUGGGUUCAUCUCAUUAGGAAAAUGAUUGUUGCUGAGCAAAUGUCAUUACAGUCUGCCUUUUAGAGUAUGACAUAUGUAAUAUUGUUGACAUUUUUAUCUGAUAGUAGGACGAGAUAAAAGCUCACAGUGUCAGUGAGAG